GAUCCUGGCUCAGGAUGAACGCUAGCUACAGGCUUAACACAUGCAAGUCGAGGGGCAGCAUGGGAUUAGCUUGCUAAUCCUGAUGGCGACCGGCGCACGGGUGAGUAACGCGUAUCCAACCUUCCCCCUGCUCAGGGAUAGCCCGGUGAAAACCGGAUUAAGACCUGAUAGUUUCACUAGAUGGCAUCUGACGGUGAAUAAAGGUUUCGGCAAGGGAUGGGGAUGCGUCUGAUUAGCUUGUUGGCGGGGUAACGGCCCACCAAGGCGACGAUCAGUAGGGGUUCUGAGAGGAAGGUCCCCCACAUUGGAACUGAGACACGGUCCAAACUCCUACGGGAGGCAGCAGUGAGGAAUAUUGGUCAAUGGGCGGAAGCCUGAACCAGCCAAGUAGCGUGCAGGACGACGGCCCUAUGGGUUGUAAACUGCUUUUGUGCGGGAAUAAAGUCAGGGACGCGUCCCUGUUUGCAUGUACCGCAAGAAUAAGGACCGGCUAAUUCCGUGCCAGCCGCGGC
rnacentral:rRNA from 1 species